GGACCCGCACAAGCGGUGGAGUAUGUGGUUUAAUUCGUAGCUACGCGCAAAACCUUACCGGCUCUUGACAUGUGACGUUUGGGAUUUAGAGAUAAAUUCCUUCACCUCGGGUGGCGUCAACACAGGUGCUGCAUGGCUGUCGUCAGCUCGUGUCGUGAGAUGUUGGGUUAAGUCCCGCAACGAGCGCAACCCUCAUCGUUAGUUGCCAUCAGGUUAAGCUGGGCACUUUAACGAAACUGCCGGUGAUAAGCUGGAGGAAGGUGGGGAUGACGUCAAGUCCUCAUGGCCCUUAUGGGCCGGGCUACACACGUCCUACAAUGGCGGUGACAGAGAGCUGCAAUGAUGUGAAAAUCGGAGCGAAAUCUUUAAAAGCCGUCUCAGUUCGGAUUGUCUUCUGCAACUCGAAGGCAUGAAGUCGGAAUCGCUAGUAAUCGCAGAUCAGAAAGCUG
rnacentral:rRNA from 1 species